rnacentral:lncRNA from 1 species
CCCUUUCCCCUCGCGUCUCUCUGAGAGCUGAUCUGAGCUGCUGCUAAGGACCGAAACGCGCCUCAAGCUGUCACUUGCCGCCUGGAGUUCGUUGGGAAAGUUGAAAAAGCCUAGUCCUGUUUAGGAAAUCUAUCCAGCUGUGUAUAUACUUUUUGCUUUUAGGGUAUGAAGCUCAGGAAGGAUAAGAAAAACAAGAUCACACAGCUGGCAAGUGGCAAAGCAGGACACAAUUUAUAACUCCAGAACGAGAAUUUGCAGUUGUUGCGCCAGAUGCCCUGUAGCGGGGCUGCCACCAAGAAGGUGGAAGAACACCUUUAAUUCCAGCACUCAGGACACAGAAGCAGGACCUCUCUGCAUAGCCAUGACUAUUCCUGGAACUCACUAUGUAAACCAGAGAUCUGCUUGCCACUGCCUCUCAAGUGCUGGGAUUAAAGUGGCUCGUCUGGGUUCAGGAAAGUAUAGCUCCAGUUUAGUGUUCUUAUGGAUCAUCGACUGUACCCAAGACCAGAAACGGAAACAACUAGAUCAUCUUCAACUGAAGAACGGAGACAGAAACGUGAUACAGGAGUAAUUCUGUGUUUGCAGCUCACUGAAGAAACUUUCUCUUAUGCUUCCCUUCGCUGUGACAAACCAGUUCUUCCUAAAAGUACUUCUUCCAUGCUUGCCUGAGAUUUGGCAGUUGUACAUCUCUCUUACCGGUCACUCAGCCUUCAGCCUUGGAAGUCUGCUUGUUUGUGACUCGGUUGUCCUCACAUCUGCAUGAAUCUGAUGAGCUGGAGUUCCUGGACUCUGGGCCCUGGUGGCCACCCUUCCUUUUCCAAGGUAGUUCUGUACAGCCUGACUGGGCUGCCAGCCACCGCUGGCUCUAUGUGCAGCUGCAGUCUAUUAACUGUACCCUCGCCCAUCCUAACCAAGACAUGAAGUAUGCUUCAGAUUCCAAGAGGAAGUGAAUGGCACAAAUGUGAGAUAAUAAAAAAUGUGUUCCUAAUGCCUGACACUCCGUUUCCUUCCCACUAAUCGGCUCGAUCAUAAAAUCAAAGAUAGCCACCCCCAUCCUUAGGGAACACAUUGAAAAUCUCAGGCAGCUGGAAAAGUUUCUAAUUUCCUUUUACCAUGGCUCUAGUAGUCAAAUUAAAGAUGGUUCGAAAUUCAAA